rnacentral:rRNA from 1 species
AAAUCCGUCUUCCUUAAGACUGAGUUACGACAGUAAGCGAAAAUUGCAGUAGCAAAGCAUCCGAUUUCACACUGCCAAGAAAAGCUUCUAAGGAGAAACGUUGCGCCCGUACCGUAAACCGACACAGGUAGGCGAGGAGAGAAUCCUCAGGUGCUCGGGAAAACUCUCGUUAAGGAACUCGGCAAAAUGACUCCGUAACUUCGGGAGAAGGAGUGCCACCCUCCGGGGUGGUCGCAGAGAAGAGGCCCAGGCGACUGUUUAGCAAAAACACAGGUCUCUGCAAAGCCGUAAGGCGAAGUAUAGGGGCUGACGCCUGCCCGGUGCUGGAAGGUUAAGGGGAGAGGUUAGCGCAAGCGAAGCUUUGAACUGAAGCCCCAGUAAACGGCGGCCGUAACUAUAACGGUCCUAAGGUAGCGAAAUUCCUUGUCGGGUAAGUUCCGACCCGCACGAAAGGCGUAACGAUCUGGGCGCUGUCUCGACGAGAGACCCGGUGAAAUUGUAAUGCUAGUGAAGAUGCUAGCUACCCGCGACAAGACGGAAAGACCCCGUGGAGCUUUACUGUAGCCUGAUAUUGAAUCUAGGUACGACUUGUACAGAAUAGGUGGGAGCCUUUGAAGCUAGGACGCCAGUCUUAGUGGAGGCAUCCGUGGGAUACCACUCUGGUCGUAUCGGGGUUCUAACCUACUACCCUAAUCGGGUAGAGGGACCGUGUCAGGUGGGCAGUUUGACUGGGGCGGUCGCCUCCUAAAAGGUAACGGAGGCGCUCCAAGGUUCCCUCAGCGCGGUUGGAAAUCGCGCGGAAGAGUGCAAAGGCAUAAGGGAGCUUGACUGCGAGACCUACAAGUCGAGCAGGGACGAAAGUCGGACUUAGUGAUCCGGUGGUUCCGCAUGGAAGGGCCAUCGCUCAACGGAUAAAAGCUACCCCGGGGAUAACAGGCUAAUCCCUCCCAAGAGUCCACAUCGACGGAGGGGUUUGGCACCUCGAUGUCGGCUCAUCGCAUCCUGGGGCUGAA